rnacentral:tRNA from 2 species
GCCGGGGUGGCGGAAUGGUAGACGCAGUGGACUCAAAAUCCACCGGUAGCGAUACCGUGAGAGUUCGAGUCUCUCUCCCGGCACCA